rnacentral:lncRNA from 1 species
GAAAUUCAGGACAAUAUGUUUUUUGCAUUUAGGAAUUGAAUCUUGAUUUCUGUUAAAAAUAUUAAAUUUUUUGUUCGAUGUAAUGCGGUAAUGCACAUGUUCCUCCAGAGGAAUUUAUGGACAUUUGUUCUGCCUUCACAUAACCAUCCAGCUGGUGUCUCUGUCUAUUAUCAUCAGUCCUUGACCCAUGAGCAUGUGCUCCCAAUAUAAAAGCUGAAUGGGGCCAGUCAAAUGAUUCCUUUCUCUUAUGCAUCACUUUGGAUUUCAGCUCCGGAGUGUUAUUUAAGUACUUUCGCAAAAUGAAGAGUCAGUCCCUAAUAGCUUCUGAAUCUGCAAGUAAGCAAUUGAUUCUUUGAAUUUGCGCAUCCAUCCCUAAAAUUAUAUGCUCUAUUGCUUACAGGUCCCUUUCUUUUAUUUUAGGUGGCUAAAGCAUUUAAUUUAGCAGCAAAAGGAUGAACCCUCUAAGGAUGGAAGAAUGAUGGUGACUAAUGCGGACGUCCCAUGCUGAAGCCAUCCCAGUUAGUGAUAGCAAGCAGGGCCCUAAACAUACUCCAUGUGCUUGGAUUCUCAUUUUAGCUCAGCAGAUGCCCUUGUUUCGAUGAGCGGCUCGGUGCAUGUUUGCCCAAAGGCCAAUCCUAUAGACUACUUGCAUGGAGGAGGGCUUAAAGAAGGUCUUUUAUUUCUUAAUGCACCAUAUGAAGAAGCAGGACGAGAUAAAUGUGGAAGGCUGGCACUAAUCCAAGCCAGCCUCAAUUAUCUCGCCGAAUUAGGGAUCGAUAUUAGCUUUAGCUACAUGGCUGUCGCCUAUAUCUAAAGAGAUGGGAGUAACUAGUUAAAAAGGUGCCAACCAGUUGAAUAAAUCAAGUAACCAGCGUGCAUAGAGGAAGGCCUGGGGCUGCAAACCAGCUAAACAAUGAUUUUCUUCACCAGUCAUGGUAAAAAGUCGAUGCAAAC